CCUACGGGAGGCAGCAGUGGGGAAUAUUGCGCAAUGGGCGAAAGCCUGAUGCAGCGACGCCGCGUGAGGGAUGAAGGUCUUCGGAUCGUAAACCUCUGUCAGCAGGGAAGAACGGUCACUGUGCUAAUCAGCAGUGAAUUGACGGUACCUGCAAAGGAAGCACCGGCUAACUCCGUGCCAGCAGCCGCGGUAAUACGGAGGGUGCGAGCGUUAAGCGGAAUUACUGGGCGUAAAGCGCUCGUAGGCGGUAUGUCAAGUCAAGGGUGAAAUCCCCGCGUUGAACGUGGGAACUGACUUUGAAGCUGGCAAACUGGAGUGUGUGAGAGGAUAGUGGAAUUCCAGGUGUAGGAGUGAAAUCCGUAGAUAUCUGGAGGAAAAUCAGUGGCGAAGGCGACUAUCUGACACAUAACUGACGCUGAGGAGCGAAAGCGUGGGUAGCAAACAGGAUUAGAUACCCCUGUAGUC
rnacentral:rRNA from 1 species